rnacentral:lncRNA from 1 species
GGAAAGGAGAGAAAUGCUAAAGGAGAGACGUCCGAGGCGAAGCUCGUCACAGGACGGGGCGAUGCCCCCACGCGGCUCAGAGCUGGGCUUGCUUUGAUGCAUGGGGUCUCGUGGUUUGGAGUGGGGGCAUCGCGGGACUCAAACGACGUAAGAGGGGAAGAAACUUGGAGGAAAGAUGCUUUUGCCUGCAGGGAGAGGUCCCUGAGUCCCCAAAAGAAAUUGGGUCCUCGAAUCAACACAGACACAAAAGUUAAGGGCACCACAGCUGCCUUCCCCAGAUGGGGCUCCCUGCGCAAACGCCUCCUCCUCCUCCAAGAUUUUCCAACGCUGGCGAAGCUCCGCCCUCGCCAGAGCGGGGCUCUGGUCCUAGCCCUCAGCGCCCGCAGGAGCGGCGGCUGGGGGGCGGAGGGGAGUGGGCCCCGCCAUUGGUUGUGCAGCCGGAGGGGCGGAGGGAAGGCUCCAGUUGAGCUCGCCGCUCGCCCGUGCGCCCGGCCGCGCGCCGCACCCGAGCGCCCCACAUCCCCGCGGAAAGCUUCGCGGGCGCGGAUCGCCAAGACCCGGGAGCCGGCGAGGAGCUCGGCGCAGCACCGUCCCACCCGAGCGCAGGAGCUGGCGGGGGAGAUCCGCGCGUCCCGGCCCGCAGGCAAAGUGCUUUGAAGAGCUCACCACACACGUUCAUGGUUCUCACUAAAGAAGCCUCUUGUAAGUUUGCCUGGACAUUGCUUCUCCUACACAAGCAUCCCGGGUCUACCUUCCCCUGCCUAUCACGUGCUGAAGACCUGUUCCCAUUCCACGAUGACUUGAGGAUACUCCCACCAUCCCCUCCCCUCACCCCCACCAGCUCUUCUGGCAUGAUGCUCCCUACAUCCCAGUGCACACCGCUGAAAUAAAAGAGAACUAAGACUAGAUGUAAGAGCAGUGAGUGAUGUAUGAAUGUGUGUCUCUGACCAAGGCUAUUCCUACAACUAAACAAAAACACAGAACAUACGGCCUUAAAGGGCAAGAUGAAGAGCUCAGCCUCAAUACAGGACAAAGCCAAAGUCAGUUCAAUCUUGUAUAAAAGAUACUUAUGAUUUCCUUGCGUAAAACCAUAUUUAUUUACAUUUUUUAAAAGAAUGUAUGACUUUUUUAUAUAGAUCAUCAGUGCAGUUGUCUGUU